AGUGAACGCUGGCGGUAGGCCUAACACAUGCAAGUCGAACGGCAGCACAGUAAGAGCUUGCUCUUACGGGUGGCGAGUGGCGGACGGGUGAGGAAUACAUCGGAAUCUACUUUUUCGUGGGGGAUAACGUAGGGAAACUUACGCUAAUACCGCAUACGACCUACGGGUGAAAGCAGGGGAUAUUCGGACCUUGCGCGAUUGAAUGAGCCGAUGUCGGAUUAGCUAGUUGGCGGGGUAAAGGCCCACCAAGGCGACGAUCCGUAGCUGGUCUGAGAGGAUGAUCAGCCACACUGGAACUGAGACACGGUCCAGACUCCUACGGGAGGCAGCAGUGGGGAAUAUUGGACAAUGGGCGCGAGCCUGAUCCAGCCAUACCGCGUGGGUGAAGAAGGCCUUCGGGUUGUAAAGCCCUUUUGUUGGGAAAGAAAAGCAGCAGGUUAAUACCCCGCUGUUCUGACGGUACCCAAAGAAUAAGCACCGGCUAACUUCGUG
rnacentral:rRNA from 1 species